rnacentral:misc_RNA from 1 species
AUGAAGAACGCAGCGAAAUGCGAUACGUAAUGUGAAUUGCAGAAUUCAGUGAAUCAUCGAAUCUUUGAACGCAUAUUGCGCUCUCUGGUAUUCCGGAGAGCAUGCUUGUUUGAGUAUCAGUAAACACCUCAACUCCCUUUUCUUUUUUGAAAUUGGAGCUGGACUUGAGUGAUCCCAACGCUUUCUUCCAAGAAAGUGGCGGGUUGCUUGAAAUGCAGGUGCAGCUGAACUUUUCUCUGAGCUAUAAGCAUAUCUAUUUAGUCUGCCUAAAAAACAGAUUAUUACCUUUGCUGCAGCUAACAUAAAGGAGACUAGUUCUUGUGCUGACUGAUGCAGGAUUCACAGAGACAGCUUCGGCUGACUUUGUAAACUCGAUCUCAAAUCAAGUAAGACUACCCGCUGAACUUAAGCAUAUCAAUAAGCGGAGGA